UAGGAAUUCUGUCUAGAAAUCAACAGGAAAUUGUUAUAUUUACUGUUUGAAAAUUAAGUUUUAACAAAAUUUAUACAUUUUUUUGUGUGCAUUAUGCCUUCAAGAAUUCACGGCAAGUUUGUUACAGAGCGCAAGAAAUAUUUGGAAGAACAGAUACAAGUUCUGGAACCUGUUUUGGGAAAUAUGAAAAAUGUUGUUGCAAAAAGUAAGGCGUGGCUAGAAGAAAAAACUGACCAAUCAUCUGUCAGCUACAUCGAGCUAUCACAAGAACUGGACACAGCAGCCACGGCCUUGUUGGAUGUGACGUCAU